AUUCAGGAAGGAAACAAAGCUUAAGGCAGUGAUUGAUAGGUUAUUUCUUGGACACAGCUGAACGUAUACUGUGCGCCUGCAACUUUCCGGUGGUUUCGGACCGGACUUCAGUGAAGCCAGUGAAGUCGGUCGACUUGCAGAACUUCCUUUCAGAGGGGCGUACACAGCACCGCGGCCGUGUGCCUGUGAUCUCCUUCUGAGUUUGAAAAAGAAGAUCCUAGACACCGAGCCAAAUAUGUUUGCAUAAACCGGGAGACUUGUGGCUCUAUUUUGUAACAGCUUGGCGCAGGGCAGCUGGUUUGGAGAUGUCUCUGUUCUUCCCUUGGUGGGGGUGCCGGAAAAAAUGUGCUGCCUGGGCGAUCGAGGUUGGGGCAAAAGCGUUGCAAAGGAAAAGGUGGGAGGACUCUACUUUCACAUUUCCCAAAAGAGUUUUACCAUAAGACUAUUUCUGGAUUGUUCUAACGUGAGGAUAUUGGGAGCAUUUUGAAAAUACUGGAGGAAAAGCUGUCACUGGGCGAUUUAAAUCCGUAGAGGCUAGGAAUGCCUAGCUUUCAGGAAAUGCAGCCUAGCAAGUCCCAGCCUCAUUUUUCUAGCCCUCACUCAAAAUGGAGGCGCUCUGGUUUGAACACUUCUGACACAUGUGCUUGAUGCAACACUCUUUACCUCUCUUUGUCUCCCCUGUCCUUCCCCUUCUCUUCCAGAUUCCCCUUGUCGGCAAAGCCAGGCGCUGAUAGCGUUAUGGCUGCCAUGAGAGUCAGCAGUAUCCCAGCUUCCAAGGAUGGGUGUAAGGUGGGGGUGAGGAAGAAAAGGAACUUGAAGCUGCCUCCUGUCCCAGAAUCACAAGACAUCUGUUAAGCCCUUACUACCUCAUUCACUCCACUCACAUUAGGUUGACCCACUUGGGCAGCAAGACAAGCAGGCCUGCAAACUUCCUUUUCUUCAUCAGCCACAGAGACAUCCUCAGCUAUUAUUCUGGAUUAAGGCAGAGAUCUCCAAACAGCAGACUAAGAUCAGCCUCUAGAUCUCAAAGCCUUACUGUUAUCUCUCCAAGUCAGUGGCUGAUCUCAGAGAAGCUUCUGAAUAGUGACUAGCAAAGAGUCACUCAGGCUACUUACAAAUCCAGGACAGCAGCGUUUUUUUUUUUUUCUUUUUUAGAGACAGAUUCACUCUGUCAUCCAAGCUGGAGUGCAGUGGCACGAUCUUGGCUCACUGCAACCUCCACCUCCUGGGCUCAAGCAAUCCUCCUACCUCAGCCUCCCAAGUAGCUGGAACUACAGGUACCCAACACCAUGCCAGGCUAAUUUCUAAUUUUUUGUAGAGACAGCAGUCUCCCUCUGUUGCCCAGGCUGGCCUCAAACUCCUAGGCUCAAGUGUUCCUCCUGCCUGGGCCUCCCAAACACUUUGGGAAGCCGAGGUGGGCAGAUUACUUGAGGUCAGGAGUUUGAGACCAGCCUGGACAACAUGGUGAAACCCUGUCUCUGCUAAAAGUACAAAAAAUUAGCUGGGCAUGGUGGCAUGUGCCUGUAAUCCCAGCUACUCAGGAGGCUGAGGCAGGAAAAUUGCUUGAACCCAGGAGGCAGAGGUUGCAGUGAGCCGAGAUCACGCUAGUGCACUCUAGCCUGGGUGACAGAGCGAAACUCUGUCUAAAAAAAAGAAGUUAUUUUUUAUCAAUAUAUAUUAACAUGCAAUGGAUUUAUUAUUAUUAUUAUUUUAUUUAUUUAUUUUUUACUUGAGACAGAGUCUUGCUCUGCCACCCAGGCUGGAGUGCAAUGGUACAAUCAUGGCUCACUGCAACCUCCACCUCCCAGGUUCAGGUGAUUCUCCUGCCUUAGCCUCCAGAAGUAGCUGGGAUUACAGGCACGUACCACCAUGCCCAGCUAAUAUUUGUAUUUUUAGUACAGAUGGGGUUUCACCAUGUUGGCCAGGCUGGUCAAGAACUCCGGACCUCAGGUGAUCCACCCUCCUCAGCCUCCCAAAGUGCUGGGAUUAUAGGUGUGAACCACAAUGCCCAGCCAGAUUUAUUAUUUUAAUGACUUAAUAAAUAUUUUAAAAUUUAAAUAUUUAAAUUAAAUUAAAUAUUUAAAAAUUUCUCAGUUUUAAUUUUUAAUUUGGCAAAUAUCAAGAGAAAGACCAUGUCAAAAAGAUUCUUUGGGAUCCU
rnacentral:lncRNA from 1 species